UACAGAGGGGGACAAGCGUUAUUCGGAAUUAUUGGGCGUAAAGGGCGCGUAGGCGGCCGUGCAAGUGGAAGGUGAAAUCCCUCGGCUCAACCGAGGAACUGCCUUUCAAACUGCAUGGCUUGAGUCCGGGAGAGGUGAGUGGAAUUCCCAGUGUAGCGGUGAAAUGCGUAGAUAUUGGGAGGAACACCAGUGGCGAAGGCGGCUCACUGGACCGGAACUGACGCUGAGGCGCGAAAGCGUGGGGAGCAAACGGG
rnacentral:rRNA from 1 species